rnacentral:ncRNA from 2 species
UGCUUAUCUAGAGUGGCGGAGGGACUGGCCCUUUGAAGCCCAGCAACCUAUAUUUAUUAUGUGGUGCUAAUUCCAGACAGAUGAGGA